GGGGAAUUAGCUCAGUGGUAGAGUGCUUGCCUAGGAAGCGCAAGGCCCUGGGUUCGGUCCCCAGCUCCA
rnacentral:tRNA from 1 species